UCAUGGCUUUAAUUUAACUGAAGCUUUCAUUUUUUUAAAUAACUGUUUCACUAUAACAAGGAAGCAUCUUCUUCUUUUUUGUCGUGAUUGUUCAUUCAUGGUUCUUCUUCCUCUUUUAAGUUCUCAACUUUCUUUUGUCUUAUAUGAGUCAUAAUGAUGGGUGUUGUUCUUAUGCAGGGUUUGCUAGUUAGAUUCGAUGGAAAUUUUCUGAAAAGAAAAGGAGCAUCUCAAGACAUAAGAGAAGAUGCGACUCAAAACUUAAAAAGGAGAAGAGGUCUCAAGAAAUACAGUUGAUGAAGAUUUUUUUCUGAUGAAUCUCCUUUACUUCACUACUAAAUCGACUCAGUUUCACACCAUCAACAAAGAGUGUAGAUGAAAACAGGAUACAAAGAAGAAGAAGAAGAAUUUGGAUUUAUGUUGUUCUUAUCAUAAAUUCUACUUAAGUGUCUUAUAAUCAUUUUCUAUGUAGCUUUGAAUUCCGCUUCCUUCAUCUUGUUUUUAAGUUUCUCUAUAUUUUUCUUUUAGUUUUUCUUUUGUUCUUCGUCAGAUUUUUUAUAUUUCACUAAAAAUUUAAUUAAAGAAUUUAUUCAUUGAUA